GGAUGAACGCUAGCUACAGGCUUAACACAUGCAAGUCGAGGGGCAUCAGGAAGAAAGCUUGCUUUCUUUGCUGGCGACCGGCGCACGGGUGAGUAACACGUAUCCAACCUGCCCUUUACUCGGGGAUAGCCUUUCGAAAGAAAGAUUAAUACCCGAUAGCAUAAUGAUUCCGCAUGGUUUCAUUAUUAAAGGAUUCCGGUAAAGGAUGGGGAUGCGUUCCAUUAGGUUGUUGGUGAGGUAACGGCCCACCAAGCCUUCGAUGGAUAGGGGUUCUGAGAGGAAGGUCCCCCACAUUGGAACUGAGACACGGUCCAAACUCCUACGGGAGGCAGCAGUGAGGAAUAUUGGUCAAUGGGCGCUAGCCUGAACCAGCCAAGUAGCGUGAAGGAUGAAGGCUCUAUGGGUCGUAAACUUCUUUUAUAUAAGAAUAAAGUGCAGUAUGUAUACUGUUUUGUAUGUAUUAUAUGAAUAAGGAUCGGCUAACUCCGUGCCAGCAGCCGCGGUAAUACGGAGGAUCCGAGCGUUAUCCGGAUUUAUUGGGUUUAAAGGGAGCGUAGGUGGACUGGUAAGUCAGUUGUGAAAGUUUGCGGCUCAACCGUAAAAUUGCAGUUGAUACUGUCAGUCUUGAGUACAGUAGAGGUGGGCGGAAUUCGUGGUGUAGCGGUGAAAUGCUUAGAUAUCACGAAGAACUCCGAUUGCGAAGGCAGCUCACUGGACUGCAACUGACACUGAUGCUCGAAAGUGUGGGUAUCAAACAGGAUUAGAUACCCUGGUAGUCCACACAGUAAACGAUGAAUACUCGCUGUUUGCGAUAUACAGUAAGCGGCCAAGCGAAAGCAUUAAGUAUUCCACCUGGGGAGUACGCCGGCAACGGUGAAACUCAAAGGAAUUGACGGGGGCCCGCACAAGCGGAGGAACAUGUGGUUUAAUUCGAUGAUACGCGAGGAACCUUACCCGGGCUUAAAUUGCAGUGGAAUGAUGUGGAAACAUGUCAGUGAGCAAUCACCGCUGUGAAGGUGCUGCAUGGUUGUCGUCAGCUCGUGCCGUGAGGUGUCGGCUUAAGUGCCAUAACGAGCGCAACCCUUAUCUUUAGUUACUAACAGGUUAUGCUGAGGACUCUAGAGAGACUGCCGUCGUAAGAUGUGAGGAAGGUGGGGAUGACGUCAAAUCAGCACGGCCCUUACGUCCGGGGCUACCCACGUGUUACAAUGGGGGGUACAGAAGGCAGCUAGCGGGUGACCGUAUGCUAAUCCCAAAAUCCUCUCUCAGUUCGGAUCGAAGUCUGCAACCCGACUUCGUGAAGCUGGAUUCGCUAGUAAUCGCGCAUCAGCCACGGCGCGGUGAAUACGUUCCCGGGCCUUGUACACACCGCCCGUCAAGCCAUGGGAGCCGGGGGUACCUGAAGUACGUAACCGCAAGGAUCGUCCUAGGGUAAAACUGG
rnacentral:rRNA from 1 species